rnacentral:tRNA from 1 species
GCGAUCAUAGUUAAGUGGUAUAACGUCUCGUUGCCAACGAGGAGUUUCGGGUCCGAUUCCCGAUGGUCGCA